CAAAUACUCCCUCCGUCCGGAAAUACUUGUCAUCAAAAUGGAUAAAAGGAAAUGUAUCUAGACAUAUUUUAGUUUUAGAUACAUCUAUUUUUAUCCAUUUUGAUGACAAGUAUUUUCGGACGGAGGGAGUAGAAA
rfam:Triticum aestivum genome assembly, contig: Triticum_aestivum_CS42_TGACv1_scaffold_320559_4BL